AACCUAGCACACCUGCGGUGUGUACCUGCGGAAGGAUCAUUACCUAGAGUUGUAGGCUUUGCCUGCUAUCUCUUACCCAUGUCUUUUGAGUACCUUACGUUUCCUCGGUGGGUUCGCCCGCCGGUUGGACAAAACUUAAACCCUUUGUAGUUGCAAUCAGCGUCUGAAAAAACUUAAUAGUUACAACUUUUAGCAACGGAUCU
rnacentral:misc_RNA from 1 species